rnacentral:rRNA from 1 species
UGGGGAAUAUUGGACAAUGGGCGCAAGCCUGAUCCAGCCAUGCCGCGUGUGUGAAGAAGGCCUUUUGGUUGUAAAGCACUUUAAGCGAGGAGGAGGCUACUUGGAUUAAUACUCUAGGAUAGUGGACGUUACUCGCAGAAUAAGCACCGGCUAACUCUGUGCCAGCAGCCGCGGUAAUACAGAGGGUGCGAGCGUUAAUCGGAUUUACUGGGCGUAAAGCGUGCGUAGGCGGCUUUUUAAGUCGGAUGUGAAAUCCCUGAGCUUAACUUAGGAAUUGCAUUCGAUACUGGGAAGCUAGAGUAUGGGAGAGGAUGGUAGAAUUCCAGGUGUAGCGGUGAAAUGCGUAGAGAUCUGGAGGAAUACCGAUGGCGAAGGCAGCCAUCUGGCCUAAUACUGACGCUGAGGUACGAAAGUAUGGGGAGCAAACAGG